rnacentral:rRNA from 1 species
AAAUUUUCAGCAAUGGAUGUCUUGGCUCGCGCAACGAUGAAGGACGCAGCGAACUGCGAAACGCAAUGUGAAUUGCAGAAUUCAGUGAAUCAU